CAGAGAUCGUGCCCUUCGGGGUAGACCUCCCACCCUGUGUUAUUUACCUUUGUUGCUUUGGCGGGCUCGCCCGCCAGAGAAUUAUUCACCCUGUGUUUAGUGUUGUCCGAGUAAAUAUAUAAUAAGUUA
rnacentral:misc_RNA from 1 species